CUCCCCGGCGGGAUGAUGUCAGGCUCGGCCCCGGGCGGGCGCUCAUUGGCUUCCCUCACCUGGACCGGCCCUUAACCCUAAACUGCCGGCCGCCCACUGAAAGGUGUCUCUCUAAUCAUUGCCUGCAUACGCACAGGAAGCAGAUUUUUUUGUUUGUUUGUGUCUAGUGAAUUGACCCUGUCUGGAUGCCAGGCACCCAAUAAGGCAAUUCUAUUACUCCCCUCCACAAACUGACAGAGGAGAAAAAAUAUAAAAAAUGGAUCAUGGGUCAAGGUCUGCAGGUCCCUGAGAGAAGCCUGUUCCAGCAUGGGUUUCAGAGCCUCCAUCAUACAUUCAGCUGCUCUGGUGUGGGUGUCCUCCAUGGCUGCAGGUGGAUCUCUGCCCCCCCUAUGGACCUCCAUGGGCUGCAAGGGUACAGCUGCUUCACCAUGGCAGCAGGGACCAUGGGGGAACAUCAGCUCUGACACCUGGAACACCUCCUCCCCCUCCUUCUCCACUGGCCUUGGUGUCUGGAGAGCUGGUCCUCUCACGUGUUCUCACCCUGCUUUUCUCUGGCCAAAAUUAUACCUGAGUAAUAACUUUUUUUUUUGGCCUUCCUAAAUGUGUCAUCACAUUCCCAUCAUGUUUGAUUGUCCCAGCCUUGGCCAGCAGCAGGCCCAUCUUGGAGCCACUGAAGCUCUGCAUGACAUGGAGGAACCUUCUGGCAGCUUCUUGGAGAAGCCAUCACUGCAGCUCCCAAUAAACUCUCUAAAGUAUAUUUUUCUUAGACAUAAACAUUUUUUACAGUCCUCUAUAUAUAUUGCUGAGUCAGUGAAACUUCUGCUUUUUGAGGACAUGAUAACUAUGUCAAAAUGACAAGUUUUCUUCCUAUGCACUUUAAAGUGCAUGACUGAGGAGCUGCUUGAAAUUAUGUCAAAACGCACCACUGCUUGACUGUGCUGACUUCAUGGGUAGAGGCUUUCCCCUCCUGCCACUGCUAAACCAAAACAUAGACUCAUGUUUUCCACAUUGACCUUGCUUUAAUCUAAAAAAUUCCCAACAUUUAUUCUAAAGUAUACCUUAUGAUAUAACCUUGCUUUGGAUUCAGUUAAUAAUUAGUCCCUUUUUUGAUUAUUUUCUGCCUUACUUUAAGUUACAGAAUUAUAUAAAUAUUAUCUAUUCUGAGUUUUCUUAUUGAAGUUAAUGACUCAUAUAUUCCACUUCAUCUGCUUUGGAUCUGCUUAAUAAAGUUUGAAUCCUAUUUUACCUUUUCUUUUCUGAAAUUAAUAAUCUGUAUGACCUUUGCAACCUUUCUUUGACUUAAUAUUAAAUCUUCAUACCUAUUUUUGCUUUCUGUGUCUUGAAUGGAUAAACCCAGUUUUGUUUCCUUCAAUAAAAUUGUUUCCUUUAAUCAGUUUAUCUUAAUUUUUAUUUAGAAGAGAGA